rnacentral:rRNA from 1 species
AUAAACGCUGGCGGCGCACAUAAGACAUGCAAGUCGAACGGAAGUCGUUAUACAAGGAGAGAAGAUUUAUCGGAUUGAAUUAUAUAACAAUGGCUUUAGUGGCGGACUGGUGAGUAACGCGUAAGAAAUCUACCUAUUAGAGGGGAACAACAAUGAGAAAUCAUUGCUAAUACCGCAUAUGCCAUAAACAUCGCAUGAUGAAAGUGGGAAAGGAGCAAUCCGCUGAUAGAUGAUCUUGCGUCUGAUUAGUUAGUUGGUGGGGUAAUGGCCUACCAAGACGACGAUCAGUAGCCGGACUGAGAGGUUGAACGGCCACAUUGGGACUGAGAUACGGCCCAGACUCCUACGGGAGGCAGCAGUCGGGAAUAUUGCGCAAUGGAGGAAACUCUGACGCAGUGACGCCGCGUGCAGGAAGAAGGUUUUCGGAUUGUAAACUGCUUUAGACAGGGAAGAGAAAGGACAGUACCUGUAGAAUAAGCUCCGGCUAACUACGUGCCAGCAGCCGCGGUAAUACGUAGGGAGCGAGCGUUAUCCGGAUUUAUUGGGUGUAAAGGGUGCGUAGACGGGAAUACAAGUUAGUUGUGAAAUACCUCGGCUUAACUGAGGAACUGCAACUAAAACUAUAUUUCUUGAGUGCAGGAGAGGUAAGUGGAAUUCCUAGUGUAGCGGUGAAAUGCGUAGAUAUUAGGAGGAACACCAGUGGCGAAGGCGACUUACUGGACUGAAACUGACGUUGAGGCACGAAAGUGUGGGGAGCAAACAGGAUUAGAUACCCUGGUAGUCCACACAGUAAACGAUGAAUACUCGCUGUUUGCGAUAUACAGUAAGCGGCCAAGCGAAAGCGUUAAGUAUUCCACCUGGGGAGUACGCCGGCAACGGUGAAACUCAAAGGAAUUGACGGGGGCCCGCACAAGCAGUGGAGUAUGUGGUUUAAUUCGAAGCAACGCGAAGAACCUUACCAGGGCUUGACAUAUAGAUGAAUAUAUAAGAGAUUAUAUAGCUUUUCGGAGCAUCUAUACAGGUGGUGCAUGGUUGUCGUCAGCUCGUGUCGUGAGAUGUUGGGUUAAGUCCCGCAACGAGCGCAACCCCUGUUUCUAGUUGCCAGCAUGUAAAGAUGGGAACUCUAGAAAGACUGCCGUAGAUAAUACGGAGGAAGGUGGGGAUGACGUCAAAUCAUCAUGCCCUUUAUGUCCUGGGCUACACACGUACUACAAUGGCUGUAACAGAGGGAAGCGAACCAGUGAUGGUAAGCGAAACCCGAAAAGCAGUCACAGUUCGGAUUGAAGGCUGAAACUCGCCUUCAUGAAGCCGGAAUUGCUAGUAAUGGCAGGUCAGCAUACUGCCGUGAAUACGUUCCCGGGCCUUGUACACACCGCCCGUCACACCAUGAGAGUUGGGGAUACCCGAAGCCUGUGAGCCAACAGUUAAAUGGGGCAGCAGUCGAAGGUAGAAUCAAUGAUUGGGGUG